CCUACGGGAGGCAGCAGUGGGGAAUAUUGCACAAUGGGGGAAACCCUGAUGCAGCGACGCCGCGUGAGUGAGGAAGUAUUUCGGUAUGUAAAGCUCUAUCAGCAGGGAAGAAAAUGACGGUACCUGACUAAGAAGCCCCGGCUAACUACGUGCCAGCAGCCGCGGUAAUACGUAGGGGGCAAGCGUUAUCCGGAUUUACUGGGUGUAAAGGGAGCGUAGACGGUUAAUCAAGUCAGAAGUGAAAACCCGGGGCUCAACCUUGGGACUGCUUUUGAAACUGAGUAGCUAGAGUGCAGGAGAGGUAAGCGGAAUUCCUAGUGUAGCGGUGAAAUGCGUAGAUAUUAGGAGGAACACCAGUGGCGAAGGCGGCUUACUGGACUGUAACUGACGUUGAGGCUCGAAAGCGUGGGGAGCAAACAGGAUUAGAUACCCCGGUAGUC
rnacentral:rRNA from 1 species